GUGUCCUACGGGACGCAGCAGUGGGGAAUAUUGGGCAAUGGGCGCAAGCCUGACCCAGCAACGCCGCGUGAAGGAAGAAGGCUUUCGGGUUGUAAACUUCUUUUCUCAGGGACGAAGCAAGUGACGGUACCUGAGGAAUAAGCCACGGCUAACUACGUGCCAGCAGCCACGGUAAUACGUAGGUGGCAAGCGUUAUCCGGAUUUACUGGGUGUAAAGGGCGUGUAGGCGGGACUGCAAGUCAGAUGUGAAAACAACGGGCUCAACCUGUGGCCGGCAUUUGAAACUGUAGAUCUU
rnacentral:rRNA from 1 species